rnacentral:rRNA from 1 species
CACUCCUGCGGGAGGCAGCAGUGGGGAAUUUUGGACAAUGGGCGAAAGCCUGAUCCAGCAAUGCCGCGUGUGUGAAGAAGGCCUUCGGGUUGUAAAGCACUUUUGUCCGGAAAGAAAUCCUUGGCUCUAAUACAGUCGGGGGAUGACGGUACCGGAAGAAUAAGCACCGGCUAACUACGUGCCAGCAGCCGCGGUAAUACGUAGGGUGCGAGCGUUAAUCGGAAUUACUGGGCGUAAAGCGUGCGCAGGCGGUUUGCUAAGACCGAUGUGAAAUCCCCGGGCUCAACCUGGGAACUGCAUUGGUGACUGGCAGGCUAGAGUAUGGCAGAGGGGGGUAGAAUUCCACGGGUAGCAGUGAAAUGCGUAGAGAUGUGGAGGAAUACCGAUGGCGAAGGCAGCCCCCUGGGCCAAUACUGACGCUCAUGCACGAAAGCGUGGGGAGCAAACAGGAUUAGAACCCCGGUAGUCCCAUGAU